rnacentral:rRNA from 1 species
GACGAACCGUGCGAACGUUAUUCGGAAUCACUGGGCUUAAAGCGCGUGUAGGCGGGGCGGAACGUCGGUCGCUGAAAUCCCCCGGCUCAACCGGGGAAGGGGCGCCGAUACGACCGGCCUGGAGGGACGUAGGGGGAGCUGGAACUUCCGGUGGAGCGGUGAAAUGCGUUGAGAUCGGAAGGAACGCCCGUGGCGAAAGCGAGCUCCUGGACGUUUUCUGACGCUGAGACGCGAAAGCCAGGGGAGCCGAACGGG